AACGAACGCUGGCGGCAUGCCUAACACAUGCAAGUCGAACGAGACCUCCGGGUCUAGUGGCGCACGGGUGCGUAACGCGUGGGAACUUGCCCUUAGGUUCGGAAUAACUCCCCUAAAGGGGUGCUAAUACCGGAUAAUGUCUUCGGACCAAAGAUUUAUCGCGAUUGGAUGGGCCCGCGUUGGAUUAGCUAGUUGGUAGGGUAAAAGCAUACCACGGCGACGAUCCAUAGCUGGUCUGAGAGGAUGAUACUCCACACUGGCACUAAGACACGGACCAGACUCGUACGCAAGAGAGGAGAGGGGAAUAUUGGGGACUGGGCGAAGGCCUGAUACAGCAAUGCCGCGUGAGUGAUGAAGGCCUUAGGGUUGUAAAGCUCUUUUACACGAGAUGAUAAUGACAGUACCGGGAAAAUAAGCACCGGCUAACUCCGUG
rnacentral:rRNA from 1 species